rnacentral:rRNA from 1 species
GACGAACGCUGGCGGCGUGCUUAACACAUGCAAGUCGAACGGAAAGGCCCUGCUUGCCGGGUACUCGAGUGGCGAACGGGUGAGUAACACGUGGGUGAUCUGCCCUGCACUUCGGGAUAAGCCUGGGAAACUGGGUCUAAUACCGGAUAGGAGCCAUUUUUAGUGUGAUGGUUGGAAAGUUUUUUCGGUGUGGGAUGAGCUCGCGGCCUAUCAGCUUGUUGGUGGGGUAAUGGCCUACCAAGGCGGCGACGGGUAGCCGGCCUGAGAGGGUGGACGGCCACAUUGGGACUGAGAUACGGCCCAGACUCCUACGGGAGGCAGCAGUGGGGAAUAUUGCACAAUGGGCGCAAGCCUGAUGCAGCGACGCCGCGUGGGGGAUGACGGCCUUCGGGUUGUAAACUCCUUUCGCUAGGGACGAAGCUUUUGUGACGGUACCUAGAUAAGAAGCACCGGCUAACUACGUG